rnacentral:rRNA from 1 species
UACAGAGGUCUCAAGCGUUGUUCGGAUUCAUUGGGCGUAAAGGGUGCGUAGGCGGCGCGGUAAGUCGGGUGUGAAAUCUCGGAGCUUAACUCCGAAACUGCAUUCGAUACUGUCGUGCUUGAGGACUGGAGAGGAGACUGGAAUUUACGGUGUAGCGGUGAAAUGCGUAGAUAGUCGUAAGGAAGACCAGUGGCGAAGGC